ensembl:miRNA
UGGUGCGUGAGGAGAGGUUGCCCGUGGCGCGUUCGCAAUCAUCAUGACGCACAAUACACGGUCGACCUCUCUUCAGUACCAGAUC